UACGUAGGAUCCAAGCGUUAUCCGGAUUUACUGGGCGUAAAGAGUUGCGUAGGUGGCAGGGUAAGUUAGUAGUGAAAUCGUGUGGCUCAACCAUACAUCCAUUACUAAAACUGCUCAGCUUGAAGAUGAGAGAGGUCACUGGAAUUCCAAGUGUAGGAGUGAAAUCCGUAGAUAUUUGGAGGAACACCGAUGGCGUAGGCAGGUGACUGGCUCAUUCUUGACACUAAGGCACGAAAGCGUGGGGAGCAAA
rnacentral:rRNA from 1 species